ACUCCUACGGGAGGCAGCAGUGGGGAAUAUUGGACAAUGGGGGCACCCUGAUCCAGCCAUGCCGCGUGUAUGAAGAAGGCCCUCGGGUUGUAAAGUACUUUCAGUGGUAGGAAGGUUGCGUGGUUAAUACCCACGUAAUUUUGACGUUUAGCCACAGAAGAAGCACCGGCUAACUCCGUGCCAGCAGCCGCGGUAAUACGGAGGGUGCAAGCGUUAAUCGGAAUUACUGGGCGUAAAGCGCAUGCAGGCGGUUAAAUUAAGCCAGAUGUGAAAGCCCGCCAGCUGGAA
rnacentral:rRNA from 1 species